AUUGAACGCUGGCGGCAGGCCUAACACAUGCAAGUCGAACGGUAGCACAGAGAGCUUGCUCUCGGGUGACGAGUGGCGGACGGGUGAGUAACGUCUGGGAAACUGCCCGAUGGAGGGGGAUAACUACUGGAAACGGUAGCUAAUACCGCAUAACGUCGCAAGACCAAAGUGGGGGACCUUCGGGCCUCACACCAUCGGAUGUACCCAGAUGGGAUUAGCUAGUAGGUGGGGUAAUGGCUCACCUAGGCGACGAUCCCUAGCUGGUCUGAGAGGAUGACCAGCCAAGCUGGAACUGAGACACGGUCCAGACUCCUACGGGAGGCAGCAGUGGGGAAUAUUGCACAAUGGGCGCAAGCCUGAUGCAGCCAUGCCGCGUGUAUGAAGAAGGCCUUCGGGUUGUAAAGUACUUUCAGCGGGGAGGAAGGCGGUGAAGUUAAUAGCUUCACCGAUUGACGUUACCCGCAGAAGAAGCACCGGCUAACUCCGUGCCAGCCGCCGCCGUAA
rnacentral:rRNA from 1 species